UACAAUUUGGUAUAGAGUGUUACGCUAUCACGUGAACUCAGCUUCAUGGCAUGUAGUGCCACAACGCGGAAUAGCUUAAACACUACCGCAUGUAGUAUAUAUUUAUAUUCAAAUUAGGAGGGGAAUCCAAAUGGAUUAACGCAUUGAAUCAACGAACCGCUACGUACAUUGUUAAAACAUUCAACGUGGAUGAUCAAGCGUGGGAAAGUCAAAAGUCAGGAGAGAAAAGGGAACGUUCGCUGAAAAUACUUGAUAGAUUCAUUAUAGGCCGUGUCGAAUCGCCGUUUCCGUUGGAAUGCAUUUCUUUAGAAUUCAAGUCGAGUUAGCUUUUGCUCCAACUCGUAAGAUCCUUGAAAAUAACAGACUCGCGCUGUACCUCGGUUCGCGUUUUCGGCGACUUCUCUAAGAGGGUAAUAAAUUUCCUUAAGGGUUGCUGUGUCUCGCUGGCGCGUUUUCUCUCUAGACCUCCACGUUUUCCCUUUUCACAUGUAGUCCUGCACAAACAUGGCCGCGCGACUCCCGCCUCCACCCGACUCUAGGGUGGAUCCAAGAUCGAUGAAGAUCACCGAUAGAAGGAAUAGGGCGCAAUCCCCGAUUGGACCAGGACAACCCGAAGGGAGGAUCAGGAAUCUUCUGGAGAAGGGAGAGAAGCAGCAGAUCGAGCGAGGAUUUUUCCAGAGAGAUCAAUCCAGGCCCUAUAAGCACUACUCUUGUGAACUUGAAGCCCGAUUUUAUCUCGCGCCCGUCGGGGAUGAUGGCGCUACUAUCACUCCUUUCGCGCCAUUGGGUUCAUAUUCUGUGUACGUUUAUUCUAUGGCGAACGCGCUCGGCAAAGUGCGGCAAAAUUUCAACUCCAUAUGGUCAUAACGUGAUAGCGAGUGCAUGUAAGUGGAUGCAAGUGCAUGGUGCAAGUAAGUGCUGUGUGCUGCUGUGUGCUGCCGGUUCUGCGUGGUUCUGCGAUAGUGUUUUUAGUUCACACCGAUUAUGGAUAACAAUAAGAGGCCCCACAAAAAAUGUGCUGUACUGGGGUGCACAAACACCAGGCAGCCGAUAUUCAGCUUCCCCUGUCUGUCGAAGGACAGCGAUAGAUGUUUAAAAUGGCUUGAAGCUUGUGGAACGGAAGAUCUAUUCCAACUCCCUCCCAGCCGGUUGAGAAAUCGAGUGGUUUGUGGGGACCACUUCGAAAUUCAUUACCGCGUUGGAUCAAAGCUUACAAGUCAUGCAGCACCAAGCUGCAACUUACCAGCACCUGCCACAUCUAUCGAGCAACAGGAGGAACUUGUAAUGGAAAUUGAAGAAGAAGAAGAAUAUCAACCUGUGCUCACUGUUGGAUACCAGUACAACGUGGGACCUAAGGACAACGUGGGACCAAUGGAUAACGUGGGACCUAUGGACGACGUGGGACCUAUGGACAACGUGGGACCUAAGGACGACGUGGGACCGAAGGACUACGUAGGACCUGGGACCAGCAGAGACUCCGACGCACUUGCCUAUAAUGUGCUUCCGGGAUCAUCCAGAGGUUGCACUGUCCAAAGGAAUCAAGUUCAACCAGCUAUCAGAAAAGGCCUUAAAGUAACGACACUGGCGCCAUCAUCCGCGACGGGCGCGUGUUAGAUUGGGCUUCAACGCUAAAUACGGGAGCUUGUGGGCCCUGGAUCAAUCGUAAUCGAACCUCUGAUGUCCGUGGCCUGGAAGUCAAAUGCUAGGCGUGGCCAAGCAUGGCCAGUACCAGCCAGCACCAGCCAGUACUGGACAUGAAAUGGACGUCCGGUGGUCCGGUGCUACCCGGGCUUUCACUGUGCGAUUCGAGGAACAAAGCCUACAAUUUCAAGCAGAACUUUACGAUUUGCAACAUGAUCUGUAUUUAUAAGCUCGGCUAGAAAAGGGAGUUGAGAUCUUCAAAAUUUUAGAUGCAUCACGUUAUCCAUUUCUCCGAAAUUUUGGUCUUCGAAUUUUGUCUAUGCUUGAGUCCAGAUAUUUAUGCAAAAGCUUAUUUUCUAAAAUGAAAAAUAUAAAAACAGGAAAACGUUCGUCUUUGAGCGAUGAAUUAUCAUCCUCGUUGAUACGAACUAAUUCUUCUAAAUUAUCUGUGGAUAUACCAUUGCUUAUAGAACCGUUCAAACGACCCAGAAGAUCAAAUGAAAAUUAAUACGUUUAUAAUUUUGAUUUCAAUUUUCUUGCCAAGUCACAUAUUUUAUUAUCGGUCUUAUUAACGUUUAGUGGAAUAGGUCUAUAAAGGAAACCACUUUGAAGAAACCGCUUCAACAAUAAUACCUCUUGGGUGAUGUGGAAAGCUAUUGACAAAGCUGCAAUUAUUAUAUCAUAUAUUAUUGUUAUUAUAUGUGUAUGUUCAACACAUGUUUAUAGACCUAUACAUAAUAAGACUUCAGGAAUCGGCCCGAAAUGAGCAAGUAAUUCCGAGCACUGCUCUAAACAAAGUACUGAUACACAUGAAAAUAGCACAAUUUCACAUUUAAAAAUGGCUAUUUUAGUAUUAAGUUAAUAUCCUUUAUUUUUCAUGAAACAUAAAAAUUACGAAAUUUCAAUCUUAAAAUUUAAAUAAGUGUAAUCACCAUUCAAAAUCAUUAUGAAUAAUUAUGUACAUAGGUUUUUGGAAUCAACUAUUGGUAGAGUAUUUGGUAGAGACAUAACUUGCAGGGAACCGGUGCAUCGUUGUGAUGAUUAUCAACCGGGUGUCUUAAUGGAAUUCGGCAGAACGAGUGUAAAGGUAAGCACAUAUUCCAUUAAUGAUUAUUAAUUUUUAUUCAAUAAAUAAUAUCAAUAAAUUUUGGUUAUUAUAUGUAAUAAGAUAUAGUAUAGGUAAUGUCAAAUUCGACCGGUUCUGUGAUCUUCUUUUUAAUCGUUGGAAAUUUUUGCAAAUGACUGCAUAAACAAAAACUUGGCACAGUAUGUCAAUUUUGUACGAAGUAAUGUAAGUUUUUACUUUUAACUAAUAAAUUCUAUGUCAUUUGAAAUUUUUGCUUAGCUGCGCUUAUAUAUGGUAAGUACAUCUUUUGUGUUAUGAUCUAUUUUAAUUUUGUUUCAAUUAAUAAGUAAUACUUUAAGAAAGCGACCAACUACCGAAACGAGUUAUAGUCACAGAUCCAUAAUCGCCAUUCUCAGACGACCGUUACUGUUUUAAUUGUACCAUAUCCAAAAUAUUUAAUAACGGAUAAAUUUAUCAAUGAGAAAAAUGUGUACAUCAUAAUAUAUGUUAAAGGAAUUCAAUUGACAGGAUUGUGAUGAAAACAAUAUUCCCUUUCAGGUUGUCACAAGCUCAGGACCGAGCUGAGACAGCCUACGAGGAAGGUAGACGAAACCUCAUCUCUUUGACUCGAUUCACACUACACCAUAGAUAAGCAAUAUUUUUAUCUAGAUUCCAAAUUCGAAUAAAAAAUAAACAAGUCGCGUUAUAGAAUAAAAUUACAUUAUCGAUUAAACGAGCAUUUCCGGAAUAUGAUGAGAAUAACUAUACAUAUAUUAACUUGACAAUAAGAAAUUGUGACACCUGAACAGAGAAUAUUGUAUAUUAAAUCAAGUUGGAUAAUC